AGAGUUUGAUCCUGGCUCAGAAUCAACGCUGGCGGCGCGCUUAACACAUGCAAGUCGAGCGAGAAAGUGGAGCAAUCCAUGAGUAAAGCGGCGUACGGGUGAGUAACACGUGGAUCAUCUACCUUUUAGUGGGGAAUAACCCUGGGAAACCGGGGAUAAUACCGCAUAAUCCUGUGAAGGGAAAGCAGCAAUGCGCUGAAAGAGGAGUCCGCGGCCGAUUAGCUAGUUGGUGAGGUAAUGGCUCACCAAGGCGACGAUCGGUAGCCGGCCUGAGAGGGCACACGGCCACACUGGCACUGAAAUACGGGCCAGACUCCUACGGGAGGCAGCAGUGGGGAAUCUUGCACAAUGUAGGAAACUCUGAUGCAGCGACGCCGCGUGAGCGAUGAAGCCCCUCGGGGUGUAAAGCUCUUUCGGCAGGGACGAUAAUGACGGUACCUGAAGAAGAAGCUGCGGCUAACUACGUGCCAGCAGCCGCGGUAAUACGUAGGCAGCGAGCGUUGUUCAGAAUUACUGGGCGUAAAGAGUGUGUAGGCGGUGCUCUAAGUUUGGUGUGAAAUCUCCCGGCUCAACUGGGAGGGUGCGCCGAAGACUGGAGUGCUUGAGCGUGGGAGAGGAAAGCGGAAUUCCUGGUGUAGCGGUGAAAUGCGUAGAUAUCAGGAGGAACACCUGUGGUGUAGACGGCUUUCUGGACCAUUGCUGACGCUGAGACACGAAAGCGUGGGUAGCAAACAGGAUUAGAUACCCUGGUAGUCCACGCCCUAAACGAUGCAUACUUGGUGUCGGCCAUUCAGUUGGUCGGUGCCGGAGCUAACGCGUUAAGUAUGCCGCCUGGGGAGUGCGGUCGCAAGGCUGAAACUCAAACGAAUUGACGG
rnacentral:rRNA from 1 species